CAGUCGAAAGAAUGAGGUGGCCUCAUGUAGGUGGAUCUCUAACAUAUAUUAGGUUGAAAAGCAGAGCAAGUGAAUGACAAGGUGCAGGAUAAUACGCAUAACAUGCUCACAUUUGAGUAAGAAAAUCCUAUUAAUGCGUGUGCUUGUGUAUGCGUGGAAGCGCUUCUGGAAGGACAUCGAAGAUGCUGGGGAGAGUGAUUGCCUCUGAGAAGAUAACUGGGAGGCUGGGGUGCCAGGAGGGAGGAAGAUGUGCUUCUCACAGUAUGUCCUUGGAUUGCUUACAUUACCAUGUUCAGUGCACAAUGUAUCAGAUCCUUCUUUCAUGCCCCCUCCCCUGUCCCCCGACAGCUGCAAGACAGGGAGGGAGUGAUGGCCUGAGCUAGUGAGACCUGAAACACAGGGCCUGACUGAUGGCCCCAAGGUGAGGGUGUGGGUGAGGACACACCCAGCGUGCCAGUGUCUGUUUUGUGCUGAUGAACAGAUUUGUCAUUGGCACUUUUGCAAAACUGCAAUGAAAUUCUGGCUCAGGGCACAAUCACCCAGCUGGGGCCCCGAGGCUUUUGGAAGUCACCCGUGGACAGCUUGUCAGCAAAUCUUUAUGGAGCAACAACUCUGUGCUAGGUGCUGAGUACACAGUGAUGAGCAAAACAUGCAAAGACCGUGCCCUCUUCAACUUGGAUGGCCAGUGGGGAUUAGGAAAACAAAUAAGUCAACAAACCCACAAUACCAUCAGUGUUGUGUUCAAGUAGGCUAUGCAGAGGGACAGGAGGGCCUGAGGGCUGCUUCAUACAGGGUGAGGAUGGAGGGGUUCUGAGGAGGGAUGCCCAGGCUGAGACCCAAAAGGUGAAAAUGAGCUGAUAGGGAGAGGUGGGUGGCAGCCAGGAGUGAGUAGAAUUACAGGUGGAGGGACCAUGUUGGGAGGCUCCACGGAGGACAGUCUGGAAGGACUGAAGGACAGCCAAUGUGGCCAAAGAGUAGUGAGUGUGAGAGAGGGGGAGCCAGGUGAGGUUGGUGGGGAGGCGGUAGGGACGCCACGCUCCUGCUGCCCUGACUGUGGGGCACAGGGUGGCAGUCAGGCCUGUGGGUCACCCACCUUCUCAGGGGCUGGCAUUUGCCUUUUCUUGCCUUGCCCUUUCAGUUGGAUGCAACCACUCCAUGACUCCAGUGGAGGAUGAGACCCUGGGAUCAGUUCCUGCCCUGGCCACAGGCUUUGCUCACCCUAUGUUCUAAUGAUCAGUAUUUCUGCAGUAACAUCUUGCAGAAAUAGUUUUAGUUCACCCAUGCUGAGGUGGAGGCAGGGAAAACCAGGACUGAGUUGAAAAUGCUCCAGGUUUCAUGUGCCUUUUCCGUGUUCUAGGUGAUCAAGAUUUCUGCAAUAGUAUCCUGCAGAAUUAGGUGGUGUGGACAAGGGGGCUUCAGGGUGCAUCAGGCAACAUUAUGUUUGGCUGCAUGGGACAGAAAAUGCCAGAUCAUGUAGCUUUAAGAAGAUAGAGUUUUAUUUUUUGUAGAUAAACAAAGUUUGGAGGUAAAUCUAGACCCUUGAAUUAGUCCUAGAUCAUCCAUAAGAAGCUACCACAUGGCCCAAGAUGGCUGCUCAAAUGCCAGCAGUUGCAUCUACAUUUCAGACAGGAGGAGGAAUGUGUGGGGAAGAGAAGGGCACACUUCUGUUUAAGGUCCCUUCAUGGAAAUCGUAUAUGAUUUACUUCUGCCUGUAUUUCAUUGUCCAGAAUUUAUCCCAGGGCUGCCCCUAGCUGCAGGAAGAGCUGGGAAAGGUAGUUUUUAUUCUGGGUGGCGAUGUGCCAAGCUAAAGACAUCAGGGGUUCCAUGUUAAAGGAGGAAGAGGGAAAUGAAGAAUGCCAGACACAGCAUUUUCUGCCACAUAUGAUCAAAUAAAUUUGAGAAAUACUUGGUUAAACAAAAUGAAAUAGGCUUCUUCACUGCAGAAUGUCUCAACCUUUAGUGCGCUCAUGGACAUUGCUAAUCUGUAAAAGAGGCUGUAGUAGUAUGUAGCCUUUCCAAAAUGUAUUAAAUGAUAGAAUUGGUGUGUGUGUGUGAAGCACCUUACGGAAUUGGUGUUCUGCAGAGGCUAUUCAGGUAAACGUAGUCCUUGAUUAUAGAGUUCAAAAAUAACCAAGCUAGGCAACAUGCUUUCAUUUUAAAGACUAAAUGCCAUUCCUUCAAUCAGCCUAGACCACCUACCCUGGAAACGACAGGCCCUGGGCCAAGUGCUGGGAUAUAUGGCUGAGUCAUGAUUCCUGCUCUCAAUAAGUUCAAAGUCAAGAGAGACACAUUCUCAGCAAAAUAAUGACAAGAAAUGCCAGAAUAGAACCUGGACUGGAAGAAUGUGACAUUGGCCUGCAGAAUCAGGUGGCUGGGGUGGAGGCUGUGGACAGCAUAGAGUGGGGUGGGCGGAAAAGGGUUGGUGCAAGGCAGUGAGUCUGGAGGGGUGAGUGCAGCCAGUGGUGAAAAGCCUCAAGUGCUGUGCCAAGGAUGUGUGCCUUCUCGUUGUGGCACCUGGAAGGAGACUGCGGGGUGCAGAAGGGCCAUGUACCAGGGAGUGGAUCGUGAUCUUUCCUCCUCCCUGGCUCCCAGCCUGCUGCCCGUAUGAAGGGCUUCUUCCUGUCCCGACACAAGACAGUGAAUUGGUCACCAGAACACAUAGCCCUCCUCCCGUUGCAAAGCUCUGUCAUCUCCUUUCUCUUACAUUGUCACAAGAAGCCUUAGAAGUGGAGCAGGAAGGGAAGGAGUUUGGAGAUAGAGCUCUCUGAGCAGCCACUUGGUCACCAGGCCAGGG
rnacentral:lncRNA from 1 species